rnacentral:lncRNA from 1 species
AUUUUUGAGAAAAAAAAUCAAAGGCUUCUUUCUUUUUUUCUCUGCUAGGGUUUCAAAAGAAACUCAUUCUUGCACCGUCACCACGACCGCCACUCCUCCGCCAUGGACGGUGGCCGAACGCUCCAGGUAUUUUCUUUUUCCUCUUUUUUUACUACAUUCUAAUAUAUGUAUGUAAAUAACUUCGUAAAAUAGGAAAAUGAGAAGAAAUAGAUUAAUAAUAGUUUUUGAAGAAAGAAAAAUAAAAGAGAAUCAAAAGACCUUAGCACCUUUGGAUCUUUUUUUUCAACUGUCUCUUUUUUAUUAUUUGUAUGUCUGAAUCGAUUUUUUCGAAAAAUCCCCCCUUACAUCAAUGAUUUCAUUUCGGCUUUAUAGCCGAUUACAAUAUUAAGAAAAUAUUGUUAUUGUUUCUCUGUUGUUACUGCUUUGCGUGUCUCUCUACCCUGUUUUUUGUUCUUUUUUAGCUUGUUUGCAGGUCUGUGGCAACGUUGCAGCAGAGAAGAUGCUAACACCACGUGGGGGAGCUUCACGACGCAAAGGCUAGGGGCUAGGGUUUUCCAUCCGAAAAUUUGUUUAUGUUUUGGGCCAUAAGCUUAGGGUUUCUUUGUGUAUUUUGGGCUGUUAAUGAGUCUCGUAAAAAAAAACUAUGGACUGUUAUUAUUUUCUUGAUUUUAGGUUUCUGGUUUAUGGGCUCCGGGCUAAAUUGGGCCUCUACAUUCCACACGGCAGUCCGAUGUGAUAGUUAAAAUGGGCUUUAAAUGCCAAUGUGGAUAUCCAACCAGGAAAAUUAAUUAAUUUUUUAAUUAAAUAAAUUUAAUUUAUUGAUUUUUCUGAA